rnacentral:rRNA from 1 species
AUUGCUCAGUACGGCGAGUGAAGCGGCAAAAGCUCAAAUUUGAAAUCUGGUACCUUCGGUGCCCGAGUUGUAAUUUGUAGAAGGUAACUUUGGGGCUGGUCCUUGUCUAUGUUCCUUGGAACAGGACGUCAUAGAGGGUGAGAAUCCCGUGUGGCGAGGAUCCCAGUUCUAUGUAAAGUGCUUUCGAAGAGUCGAGUUGUUUGGGAAUGCAGCUCUAAGUGGGUGGUAAAUUCCAUCUAAAGCUAAAUAUUGGCGAGAGACCGAUAGCGAACAAGUACAGUGAUGGAAAGAUGAAAAGAACUUUGAAAAGAGAGUGAAAAAGUACGUGAAAUUGUUGAAAGGGAAGGGCAUUUGAUCAGACAUGGUGUUUUGCGCCCUCUGCUCCUUGUGGGUGGGGGAAUCUCGCAGCUCACUGGGCCAGCAUCAGUUUUGGCGGUAGGAUAAAUCUGCAGGAAUGUAGCUUGCUUCGGCAAGUGUUAUAGCCUGUUGAAAUACUGCCAGCCGGGACUGAGGACUGCGACUUUUAGUCAAGGAUGCUGGCAUAAUGGUUAUAUGCCGCCCGU